rnacentral:rRNA from 1 species
GACGAACGCUGGCGGCGUGCUUAACACAUGCAAGUCGAACGGAAAGGCCCUGCUUUUGUGGGGUGCUCGAGUGGCGAACGGGUGAGUAACACGUGAGUAACCUGCCCUUUACUUUGGGAUAACUUCAGGAAACUGGGGCUAAUACCGGAUAGGAGCUCCUGCUGCAUGGUGGGGGUUGGAAAGUUUCGGCGGUUGGGGAUGGACUCGCGGCUUAUCAGCUUGUUGGUGGGGUAGUGGCUUACCAAGGCUUUGACGGGUAGCCGGCCUGAGAGGGUGACCGGCCACAUUGGGACUGAGAUACGGCCCAGACUCCUACGGGAGGGAGAAGUGGGGAAUAUUGCACAAUGGGCGGAGGCCUGAUGCAGAAACGCCGCGUGCGGGAUGACGGCCUUAGGGUUGUAAACCGCUUGCGCCUGUGACGAAGCGUGAGUGACGGUAAUGGGUAAAGAAGCACCGGCUAAAUACGUG